ensembl:lncRNA
GCUUAAUAGUGCCAUGGGCUCAGUCGUGUCUGACUCUGCAGCCCGUGGUCUAUAAUCCUGCCAGGUCCUUCUGUCUAUGAAAUUCUCCAGGCAAGAAUAUUGGAGUGGAUUGCCAUUUCCUACUCCAAAGGAUCUUCCUGGCCCAGGGGUUGAACCCAAAUCUGUAUUGACAGGCGGAUUCUUUACCACUGGGGCACCUGGGAAGCUCAGCUUGCUUAAUAAUGAACUGCCUCACCAAUCAAGCUGGCUUUAGUUAGUUUUUUUUUUAACCAAACCUUGCCUGUAGAUCAGGCCUCAGCACUGGGCUUUCAGGAACGUGGCAUCAGCUGUAUCCAGUUCAAGCCCCAGCUGGUUAGGACUGGCUGGAGCCCUCAAGACCCUCCAGCUGGAGCUGAGUUGGAAACCCUGCCUUCAGAGCAUGCAGACGCUAGUUUUCUGAGGGACGUCUGAUGGUGAAGCCUGUAGCUUGGUGCCUGCACUAAACCAGGUUACCUCGCCGUUUCCUUCUCCGUAAGCUAGCUCUUCCACGCUCCCCAUGCCUCAGCUUUAUCCCGUCUAUUAAUCAAACCUUGAGUUGUUGUACGGAGACAGCCAUGCAAGACGAGAACUCAGAAACCAAGAACCUUCAGUCCAUGGAAUUGGAAGGAAAGAAACGUUGCCAUUGGCGCGCUUUACAAAGCGAGAGUUCUCUCAUCAAGGAAAACCUGGCUUUCAACAGCAGGAGUACGUUAUGUGGGAAACCUGACUAAACAGCAUCCAAGUUUAAAAUUCCACCAUCCCCUUAACUUUCACCACGAGCCCUGGAUCCUGGAUCUCGGAGUCAGAUUUGAGAACCUUGUGUGUCAAGCUUACAAAAAGGUUCUUUUUUCAAGAGUUGUAGCCAUAGAGAAGGCUUUUAUGCAAGUUGGGCAGGGAGCCUUUGCUUCAUCUCUCCCCAAAAGGGGUAAGUGCUCAGGUUUUAUCCCAGAUGUCUUAAAACCCAAGAAAAAGGAGAAUUCCUGUUCAGUAAAGAUGAUAACAUUGGUUGUAUGUCUAAAGAAACGGAAUGAUCAAGUUGUAAAUCUGUGGUUCCUCUAGUGCUUCCCAAAAGGACUGAGUGCCUUAGAAGGAAAUUUCUAUUGUAGCUUUGGGGCAUUGAAUGCUGCUGCUAAGUCACUUCAGUCGUGUCCGACUCUGUGCGACCCCAUAGAUGGCAGCCCACCAGGCUCCCCUGUCCCUGGGAUCCUCCAGGCAAGAACAUUGGAGUGGGUUGCCAUUGCCUUCUCCAAUGCAUGGAAGUGAAAAGGGAAAGUGAAGUCACUCAGUUGUGUCUGACUCUUAGCUAAAAGGAGCUAAAGUGGAACCCCUGUCGCUGGAGCGCUACAGAAUCAGAUGGAAUUGCCAGCGCCAGUGGCUUUCGGCUGUCUUGUUGUGAGACCCUCUCCGCAUGGCCUGCUGUGCUGGUGGUCCACACAGGUAGGGCAGCCCCUCUAUCGAGGCCGUGCCAUGUCCUGUGACUACGGAAACUCAGGGCCGUCCAACACCUCUGCCGGGUGGAAGAGGAAGAAGAGGCUGGAAAGAGACGACAGGUAAGAGCAGCAUUUCUCAGUCUCUGAAAUGCUCCCCACCACGGCCUGGCCCUCCCUGUGGCCAUCUCUCCCUUGGUGUUUUCCAUUUGCCUCAGAGCCACAUACGAACGUGCAGGAUGAAUGUUUCCGUCCCUGUGGAACAGUGGGGAUAUUGAGGUCAUUGUGUGGCUAAGUGCUGAUUGGAGUUGGAAGGGAUAUGCUGUUUGCUUUUUUUUUUUUUGCUGUUUGCUUUUAGAAGACAAAAGCAGAACAAAACACAGUUUGGAAGCAGCUAAUGUAAUUGAGCAGCUCUGUUCUGCCUGGCGAAUCUUGUGACAAAUGAGGAGUCCUGGGAACACUGAAGAAUCAAUACUUUUGAACUGUGUUGCUGGAGAAGAUUCUUGAGAGUCCCUUGGGCAGCAAGGAGAUCCAACCAGUCCAUCCUAAAGGAAAUCAGUCCUAAAUAUUCAUUGAAAGGACUGAUGCUGAAGCUGAAGCGCCAAUACUUGGGCCACCUAAUGCGAAGAACUGACUCAUUGAAAAAGACCCUGAUGGUGGGAAAGAUUGAAGGCAGGAGAGGAGGAGGACAGAGGAUGAGAUGGCUGGAUGGCAUCACAGACUCAAUGGGCAUGAGUCUGAAUAAACUCUGGGAGUUGGUGAUGGACAGGGAGGCCUGGCGUGCUAUAGUCCAUGGGGUCGCGGAGUCGGAUGCAACUAAGUGACUGAGCUGAACUGGGAUCCAUGCUGAAAUGGGAGAGAUGGCCAGAUGAGCAGAUUUGAGAUACCGUUCAAACCCUGUGCCCCCAGCCUGCUCAGGAAGAAAUUUCAAACACCUUUCACACGAAAAACACUCGAAGAUCCACAUCUUCCUUCUCUCAUUUCACGUCAUCUUUCAUUAAACUCAGGACACCCCUGCC